GAUCUAUCUUUCUCUUUCUUUUCUUCUUUUUCCUCAUCAUUCUCUCUCCUCUCUUUCUCCCACCAGACGUCUCCUUCACUCUUUCUCUCUCGCCUGUCUCUGUGUGGAGCCCGACUGCCACCUUCCCCUACACGCGCCGGCUAGGGAUCUUCAGAGGCUGUCGAAGCUUCAACCCACUCGGACCAUCGUCGUAUUCCUAUUCCUAUUCUCUUUUCGUUUUUCAUUGUAUUAACAUAGAUUUCUCUCUCUCUCUCUCUCUCUCUCUCUCUCCCUACUUGCUCUCAGGUCUUCUACUUCGACGUCGGCGAGAAUAGAAGGGGUCGUUUCCUCAAGGCAUUCCUGGACCAUGGAAUACCAGAGAGUUCUGAAAUGGUUGUUGCCCUGAUGCAAAAGAGUCCAGAUGGUGAUAUUAUAGAUUGUGUUUUGUCUCAUCAACAACCAGCUUUUGACCAUCCUCAGUUGAAGGGACGAAAGCCAUUGGAAUAGGCCAAAAACUCAUAAAGAUCAUCCUAAUAGUACUAUGAUGAGGACUCAGGAGCUACCAAAAUAUUAAGUAUACUAACAGAAGCAAUAGCAAUUGGAAGAACAUUUGCAGCCAUGAAGGACUAUCAGAUUGAUGGCAACAAAGAAAUGGUGGCAUUAAGAACAAUUAACAUUGUUGGUUCUUUGACCUCUUGUUAUGUAGCAACAGAAAAAAGUGUUUCUUCAUAGCCUUGUGGACUAAGUUGAGGAGAAGAAGGAACCACCAACAACCGACCACAGUAAGAGG